GCGUUGUUCGGAAUUACUGGGCGUAAAGGGCUCGUAGGUGGCCAACUAAGUCAGACGUGAAAUCCCUCGGCUUAACCGGGGAACUGCGUCUGAUACUGGAUGGCUUGAGAUUGGGAGAGGGAUGCGGAAUUCCAGGUGUAGCGGUGAAAUGCGUAGAUAUCUGGAGGAACACCGGUGGCGAAGGCGGCAUCCUGGACCAACACUGACACUGAGGAGCGAAAGCCAGGGGAGCAAACGGG
rnacentral:rRNA from 1 species